rnacentral:rRNA from 1 species
UACGUAGGGGGCAAGCGUUGUCCGGAUUCAUUGGGCGUAAAGAGCGUGUAGGCGGCCAGGUAGGUCGGUUGUGAAAACUGGAGGCUCAACCUUCAGACGUCGACCGAAACCAUCUGGCUAGAGUCCGGGAGAGGAGAGUGGAAUUCCUGGUGUAGCGGUGAAAUGCGCAGAUAUCGGGAGGAACACCAGCGGCGAAGGCGGCACUCUGGGCUGGAACUGACGCUGAGGAGCGAAAGCGUGGGUAGCAAACAGG